rnacentral:rRNA from 1 species
UACGUAGGGUGCGAGCGUUAAUCGGAAUUACUGGGCGUAAAGCGUGCGCAGGCGGUGAGCUGUGUCCGAUGUGAAAGCCCCGGGCUUAACCUGGGAAUGGCAUUGGAAACUGGCUCGCUGGAGUGUGGCAGAGGGGGGUGGAAUUCCGCGCGUAGCAGUGAAAUGCGUAGAGAUGCGGAGGAACACCGAUGGCGAAGGCAGCCCCCUGGGCUAACACUGACGCUCAGGCACGAAAGCGUGGGGAGCAAACAGG